UACGAAGGGGGCUAGCGUUGCUCGGAAUCACUGGGCGUAAAGCGCACGUAGGCGGACUCUUAAGUCGGUGGUGAAAUCCUGGAGCUCAACUCCAGAACUGCCUUCGAUACUGGGAGUCUUGAGUCCGGGAGAGGUGAGUGGAACUGCGAGUGUAGAGGUGAAAAUUCGUAGAUAUUCGCAAGAACACCAGUGGGCGAAGGCGGCUCACUGGCCCGGUACUGACGCUGAGGUGCGGAAAGCGUGGGGAGCAAACAGG
rnacentral:rRNA from 1 species